AUAUAUUAACCUUCUAAUCCUAUUAGUUUACCUAUGUGAAUCGUAAAAGAUUUGCAGUACAUCAGUGUUAUGUUAUGCUAUCAACUUCGAGAGCAAAUUAUCAAUUCCUAUCUAUACUAUGUUUCUUUUACAAUGUCUCGCAGAAAGUAUAAGGAUUACUAUAGUUGCAACAUAUCACCUUUCUAUCAUCUAACAUUCACUCCGAUCUGAAGAUGCAUCGCCUCACAGUGGAAAUAGGUGCUCCACACUGCUCAAUGCUAUUUCCAAAAAGAAAACAAGAAGAAUUAACAAACAAGCAAAGAGAAGUAACGAAAACAAAAAGUGAAAAAAAGGCCUAUAUAAGAUGGUCUUGAAACAUACUACAAAUGUAAAAAAGACUAAGCUCUUGCCGAUGUACCUUUGCAUUGUACUACCAAUCAGCAUAUCGGUAGGAGUAAAACAUAUAUUCGUGCUCAUCAAAUACCAGAUGACAAGUUUAAUACCGACUCCAGGCUUAGGUGAAUAGGUAAAAAAGAAUGACUUGGCGCAAAUCAAGUUGCAUUAAUUUUACAAUACACAGAGCUUACUUUGUCACCCUCAGCUAUAAUAAAACCACAAGACCUAUCGUAACAAGGACAUAGUAUCAGCACUGAUAGUUAACAGCACAAGGUCAUUGUUUUAUGGACAAAAUAUCAAAAGAGAAGUAGUACUGUUAAAUGCCACACAAAAGAGAAGUACUUUUCUUCACUUACACUUACUGAUUCAUUAGAGAGACUCCUCGCAAAAUGGUUAUCAUUCAUCAAACAUUGCAUUUGUUAUCGGCUAUGAUAUCUUGGAACAUAAAU
rnacentral:lncRNA from 1 species